rnacentral:rRNA from 1 species
CACGUAGGGGGCGAGCGUUGUCCGGAUUUAUUGGGCGUAAAGAGCUCGUAGGCGGCUCGGUAAGUCGGGUGUGAAAACUCUAGGCUCAACCUAGAGACGCCACCCGAUACUGCUGUGGCUAGAGUCCGGUAGGGGAGCAUGGAAUUCCUGUGUAGCGGUGAAAUGCGUAGAUAUAGGAAGGAACACCAGUGGCGAAGGCGACCACCUGGACUGAUACUGACACUGAGGUGCGAAAGCGUGGGGAGCAAACAGG